rnacentral:rRNA from 1 species
UACGAGGGCGCAAGCGUUAUCCGGAAUUAUUGGGCGUAAAAGAGCUCGUAGGCGGUUUGUCGCGUCUGCUGUGAAAGACCGGGGCUCAACUCCGGUUCUGCAGUGGGUACGGGCAGACUAGAGUGCAGUAGGGGAGACUGGAAUUCCGUGGUGUAGCGGUGAAAUGCGCAGAUAUCAGGAGGAACACCGAUGGCGAAGGCAGGUCUCUGGGCUGUAACUGACGCUGGAGGAGCGAAAGCAUGGGGGAGCGAACAGG